rnacentral:rRNA from 1 species
UACGUAGGGGGCAAGCGUUAUCCGGAUUUACUGGGUGUAAAGGGAGCGUAGACGGUUAUGUAAGUCUGGAGUGAAAGCCCGGGGCCCAACCCCGGGGCUGCUUUGGAAACUGUGUAACUAGAGUACAGGAGGGGCAGGCGGAAUUCCUGGUGUAGCGGUGAAAUGCGUAGAUAUCAGGAGGAACACCGGCGGCGAAGGCGGCCUGCUGGACUGAAACUGACGUUGAGGCUCGAAAGCGUGGGGAGCAAACAGG